rnacentral:rRNA from 1 species
GACGAACGCUGGCGGCGUGCUUAACACAUGCAAGUCGAACGAUGAAGCUGGAGCUUGCUCCGGUGUAUUAGUGGCGAACGGGUGAGUAACACGUGAGCAAUCUGCCCUUGACUCUGGGAUAACUGCGGGAAACUGUAGCUAAUACCGGAUACGAGGCUCGAAGGCAUCUUCGGGUCUGGAAAGAAUUUCGGUCAAGGAUGAGCUCGCGGCCUAUCAGCUUGUUGGUGAGGUAAUGGCUCACCAAGGCGACGACGGGUAGCCGGCCUGAGAGGGUAACCGGCCACACUGGGACUGAGACACGGCCCAGACUCCUACGGGAGGCAGCAGUGGGGAAUAUUGCACAAUGGGCGAAAGCCUGAUGCAGCAACGCCGCGUGAGGGAUGAAGGCCUUCGGGUUGUAAACCUCUUUUAGCAGGGAAGAAGCGAAAGUGACGGUACCUGCAGAAAAAGCACCGGCUAACUACGUGCCAGCCGCCGCAGUAA